rnacentral:rRNA from 1 species
AUACGUAGGGUGCGAGCGUUAAUCGGAAUUACUGGGCGUAAAGCGUGCGCAGGCGGUGAUGCAAGACAGAUGUGAAAUGCCCGGGCUCAACCUGGGACCUGCAUUUGUGACUGCAUCGCUAGAGUACGGUAGAGGGGGAUGGAAUUCCGCGUGUAGCAGUGAAAUGCGUAGAUAUGCGGAGGAACACCGAUGGCGAAGGCAAUCCCCUGGACCUGUACUGACGCUCAUGCACGAAAGCGUGGGGAGCAAACAGGAUUAGAUACCCUGGUAGUCCACGCCCUAAACGAUGCCAACUGGUUGUUGGGUCUUCACUGACUCAGUAACGAAGCUAACGCGUGAAGCUGACCGCCUGGGGAGUACGGCCGCAAGGUUGAAACUCAAAUGAAUUGGCGGGG